rnacentral:tRNA from 1 species
AGCCCUAUAGUAUAGUGGUCAAGUAUGCGGGCCUUUGGCGCCCGAGACCUCGGUUCGAAUCCGAGUAGGGCUA